rnacentral:lncRNA from 1 species
CUGGCUAGGUAGUUCUUCUGCUUCAUGUUGUGAUGACCAGGGUACUAGGAUGUAUGGAACAUCCAGAAUGGCCUCAUUCACAUGGCUGUUCUACUCUGCUUUCCUCGUGGAUGUCAUUCUGAGGCUCCCCAUGGUGGCAAGACGGUCUCAGCAGUAUCACUUUCAUGACCACUCAUUUGUAAAUCCUUUAAGAAAAGAGUGUGAGUCUCUCAGAAGUCUCAGCCAAAGACUCGCUGCAUCUAGUUGGCACUGUUUGGAUCACAAGGCCGUCACUGUGGGCAGGGAAAUCCUAUGAUUAGACUGAGGCCAUAUGCUCAACUCCCCAGCCCCAUCCUGAAUACAUGCGCUGAGAGUGCAAGAAUGUGGUGCCCCAGAGGAUGUCAGACUCUACUACCAGAAGAAUAAUUCCGGAGGGGAAAAUAAAAACACGCUCUCACG